rnacentral:rRNA from 1 species
GAGGGAUAACUGGCCGAAAGGUCAGCUAAUACCGCAUACACUCUACGGAGCAAAGCAGCAAUGCGCUUUGGGAAUAGCCUGCGUCCGAUUAGCUAGUUGGUAGGGUAAUGGCCUACCAAGGCGACGAUCGGUAGCUGUUCUGAGAGGAUGAUCAGCCACACUGGAACUGAGACACGGUCCAGACUCCUACGGGAGGCAGCAGUAGGGAAUUUUCCACAAUGGGCGAAAGCCUGAUGGAGCAACGCCGCGUGCAGGAUGAAGGCCUUCGGGUUGUAAACUGCUUUUAUCUGUGACGAUGAUGACAGUAGCAGAUGAAUAAGGAUCGGCUAACUCCGUGCCAGCAGCCGCGGUCAUACGGAGGAUCCAAGCGUUAUCCGGAAUUACUGGGCGUAAAGAGUUGCGUAGGUGGCAGAGUAAGUAGAUAGUGAAAGCGUUCGGCUCAACCGGAUACACAUUAUCUAAACUGCUCAGCUAGAGAAUGGUAGAGGUUACUGGAAUUCCCGGUGUAGGAGUGAAAUCCGUAGAUAUCGGGAGGAACACCAAUGGCGUAGGCAGGUAACUGGGCCAUUUCUGACACUAAGGCACGAAAGCGUGGGGAGCAAACGGGAUUAGAUACCCCGGUAGUCCACGCCGUAAACGAUGAAUGCUAGCUGUUAUAGGUAUCGACCCCUGUAGUAGCGAAGUUAACGCGUUAAGCAUUCCGCCUGUGGAGUACGGUCGCAAGACUAAAACAUAAAGGAAUUGACGGGGACCCGCACAAGCGGUGGAGCGUGUUGUUUAAUUCGAUGGUAAGCGAAGAACCUUACCAGGGCU